AACAAUCGGAUGCUAAUUUUCAUUUAGAUCUGUAGGGAAAGAAAAAAACCCAACGAAAACAAUGUCCAAAAAAACUCUACAUGGAAAAGAACAGAAAAUACCGUGCAUGAUCUGGCUCAGAUUUACCAGAAUUCAGUGAAGCUGAACAAAGAAGGGGAAGGAGAAAUGUCUUCUGUUUGAUUUGAAAAACAAACAAAAAGAUUCUGUAGAGUGAAAGUACCUGAAGACUGGAUCAGUAUCUAAGCAAACUGCCAAGUCUCCAAGACCAGAAUGUGGGCAUGUGGCAGGAGCUGUAGUCUGCUUUAGUCUGCUUCUACAGGUUUUGUUGCUGCUGUUGGUUUUGUUCUAUCUCACCUCCUCAUCCAGCACUACCAAGCAACAUAUUUGUCUACCAUGUCUUGCUUGAAGUGAAAUCUGCUACAAUUUCCAUUAUCUAUUUCUAAUGAUUAUGAACAAAACCACUGGAAAUUUAUAUGAAAAUAGAGGA